rnacentral:rRNA from 2 species
UUGCACAAGCNGNGGAGCAUGUGGUUUAAUUCGAAGCAACGCGAAGAACCUUACCUGGUCUUGACAUCCCUAUGACCGACGAGUAAUGUCGUCUUUCCUUCGGGACAGAGGAGACAGGUGGUGCAUGGUUGUCGUCAGCUCGUGUCGUGAGAUGUUGGGUUAAGUCCCGCAACGAGCGCAACCCUUAUCUUCAGUAGCCAGCAUUUAAGGUGGGCACUCUGGAGAGACUGCCAGGGAUAACCUGGAGGAAGGUGGGGAUGACGUCAAAUCAUCAUGCCCCUUAUGACCAGGGCUACACACGUGCUACAAUGGCGUAAACAAAGGGAAGCAAAGCCGCGAGGCCGAGCAAAUCCCAAAAAUAACGUCUCAGUUCGGAUUGUAGUCUGCAACUCGACUACAUGAAGCUGGAAUCGCUAGUAAUCGCGAAUCANAAUGUCGCGGUGAAUACGUUCCCGGGCAA